rnacentral:lncRNA from 1 species
CCUCGGGAGCUGAGGAAGAACGGAUGCUGUUUUCCUUCUGGCCCAGACCUCACAUGUGGAUUAGUAACACUCUGAGAUAGGAGCUAACGAAUGCCAAGUGCUUCCCUGUCUCUACCCAGAUUCGGGUCUCGCUGUGCCCGGAUAUUCCGUCUGGUGUUGCAGAAGAAGCACCUGGAGCAGAAGCAGGUGGAGGACUUUGCAAUGAUCCCUGCAAAGGAGGCAAAGGACAUGCUGUAUAAGAUGCUCUCGGAGAACUUCAUAUCACUGCAGGAAAUUCCUAAAACGCCAGACCACGCCCCGUCCAGGACCUUCUAUCUGUACACCGUGAAUGUGCUGUCAGCCG